AUUGAACGCUGGCGGCAGGCCCAACACAUGCAAGUCGAGCGGAUGAGAGGAGCUUGCUUCUCGAUUCAGCGGCGGACGGGUGAGUAAUGCCUAGGAAUCUGCCUGGUAGUGGGGGACAACGUUUCGAAAGGAACGCUAAUACCGCAUACGUCCUACGGGAGAAAGCAGGGGACCUUCGGGCCUUGCGCUAUCAGAUGAGCCUAGAUCGGAUUAGCUAGUUGGUGAGGUAAUGGCUCACCAAGGCGACGAGCCGUAACUGGUCUGAGAGGAUGAUCAGUCACACUGGAACUGAGACACGGUCCAGACUCCUACGGGAGGCAGCAGUGGGGAAUAUUGGACAAUGGGCGAAAGCCUGAUCCAGCCAUGCCGCGUGUGUGAAGAAGGUCUUCGGAUUGUAAAGCACUUUAAGUUGGGAGGAAGGGUUGUAGAUCAAUACUCUGCAAUUUUGACGUUACCGACAGAAUAAGCACCGGCUAACUCUGUGCCAGCCGCCGCGGUAACAC
rnacentral:rRNA from 1 species